rnacentral:rRNA from 1 species
GUCUACGGCCAUACCACCCUGAACGCGCCCGAUCUCGUCUGAUCUCGGAAGGAGAGGGGAGUUGGGGGAAAUUGGAAAGGGAGGUGAACC